GAGGGAUAUUGGGCAAUGGGGGAAACCCUGACCCACCAACGCCGCGUGAGGGAUGACGGUUUUCGGAUUGUAAACCUCUGUCCUCUGUGAAGAUAGUGACGGUAGCAGAGGAGGAAGCUCCGGCUAACUACGUGCCAGCAGCCGCGGCAAUACGUAGGGAGCAAGCGUUGUCCGGAUUUACUGGGUGUAAAGGGUGCGUAGGCGGAUUGGCAAGUCAGAAGUGAAAUCCAUGGGCUUAACCCAUGAACUGCUUUUGAAACUGUUAGUCUUGAGUGAAGUAGAGGUAGGCGGAAUUCCCGGUGUAGCGGUGAAAUGCGUAGAGAUCGGGAGGAACACCAGUGGCGAAGGCGGCCUACUGGGCUUUAACUGACGCUGAGGCACGAAAGUGUGGGUAGCAAACAGGAUUAGAUACCCUGGUAGUCCACACUGUAAACGAUGAUUACUAGGUGUGGGGGGUCUAACCCCCUCCGUGCCGGAGUUAACACAAUAAGUAAUCCACCUGGGGAGUACGACCGCAAGGUUGAAACUCAAAGGAAUUGACGGGGGCCCGCACAAGCAGUGGAGUAUGUGGUUUAAUUCGACGCAACGCGAAGAACCUUACCAGGUCUUGACAUCCAACUAACGAAGCAGAGAUGCGUUAGGUGCCCUUCGGGGAAAGUUGAGACAGGUGGUGCAUGGUUGUCGUCAGCUCGUGUCGUGAGAUGUUGGGUUAAGUCCCGCAACGAGCGCAACCCUUGUGAUUAGUUGCUACGCAAGAGCACUCUAGCAGGACUGCCGUUGACAAAACGGAGGAAGGUGGGGACGACGUCAAAUCAUCAUGCCCUUUAUGACCUGGGCUACACACGUACUACAAUGGUCGUUAACAGAGGGAAGCAAUACCGCGAGGUGGAGCAAAACCCUAAAAACGGUCUCAGUUCAGAUUGUAGGCUGCAACUCGCCUACAUGAAGUUGGAAUUGCUAGUAAUCGCGGAUCAGCAUGCCGCGGUGAAUACGUUCCCG
rnacentral:rRNA from 1 species